GACGGAGGGGGCUAGCGUUGUUCGGAAUCACUGGGCGUAAAGGGCGCGUAGGCGGCCAAGCAAGUCAGAUGUGAAAUCCCGGGGCUUAACCCCGGAACUGCAUUUGAAACUGCAUGGCUUGAGUCUCGGAGAGGAUGGUGGAAUUCCUAGUGUAGAGGUGAAAUUCGUAGAUAUUAGGAGGAACACCGAUGGCGAAGGCAGCCAUCUGGACGAGUACUGACGCUGAGGCACGAAAGCGUGGGGAGCAAACAGG
rnacentral:rRNA from 1 species